rnacentral:rRNA from 1 species
AGUGAACGCUGGCGGUAGGCCUAACACAUGCAAGUCGAACGGCAGCACAGUAAGAGCUUGCUCUUACGGGUGGCGAGUGGCGGACGGGUGAGGAAUACAUCGGAAUCUACUUUUUCGUGGGGGAUAACGUAGGGAAACUUACGCUAAUACCGCAUACGACCUACGGGUGAAAGCAGGGGAUCUUCGGACCUUGCGCGAUUGAAUGAGCCGAUGUCGGAUUAGCUAGUUGGCGGGGUAAAGGCCCACCAAGGCGACGAUCCGUAGCUGGUCUGAGAGGAUGAUCAGCCAAACUGGAACUGAGACAAGGUCCAGACUCCUAAGGGAGGCAGCAGUGGGGAAUAUUGGACAAUGGGCGCAAGCCUGAUCCAGCCAUAACGCGUGGGUGAAGAAGGCCUUCGGGUUGUAAAGCCCUUUUGUUGGGAAAGAAAAGCAGCAGGUUAAUAACCCGCUGUUCUGACGGUACCCAAAGAAUAAGCACCGGCUAACUUCGUG